UUACGACCACAUCAUGUUGAAACACCGAUUCCAGUACGAUCACCGAAGUUAAGCAUUGGCGAACCUUGUUAGUACCUAGUUGGGUAACCUCUUUGGAAUAUCAGGUCCUGUAA